CCACGCAGCCGGGGAGAUAGCGGUGCCCUGUACUUGCAAUCCGCUCCAGCAAGGGUGAUGCCUUGCCUCGGGCUUGUAUGAUGCGGAGCUGCCUUUGGUAAGUGGCGUUGACGUUUGGGUCUUAUGCAACAGGAAUCUGUGAACCGUGUCAGGGCAGGAAUGCAGCAGCACUAAGCAGAACCUUCUGUGUGACAUGAGGCAGCCUGGACCGAGCUAACUGCCAGAGUAACGUCUGUGUCUGCAGUUCAAAGCAAGGCGCGUGG
rnacentral:SRP_RNA from 1 species